GCGGAAGUGGCGGAAUUGGUAGACGCACCAGAUUUAGGUUCUGGCGCCGCAAGGUGUGCGGAGAGUUCAAGUCUCUCCUUCCGCACCA
rnacentral:tRNA from 1 species